AUAACUUCUAACGCCAUGUCGUUUACAUCCUGUAGUUCUAUUCUUAUCGCUUAAUAUCUGAUACGAUCCCCAUGUGGGAUCUACGAUUUUAAAACUGUUUUUUGGGAAAAAUGGCAAAGUGCUAGGGCUUGCUCCCCUUUGCCGUGGAUCGGCCCGGUAUUGCAGUACCUCCGGAUUGGUCCACUCCCU
rnacentral:snRNA from 1 species